CCUACGGGAGGCAGCAGUGGGGAAUUUUGGACAAUGGGCGCAAGCCUGAUCCAGCAAUGCCGCGUGAGUGAAGAAGGCCUUCGGGUUGUAAAGCUCUUUUGUCAGGGAAGAAACGGUCUACUCUAAUACAGUGGGCUAAUGACGGUACCUGAAGAAUAAGCACCGGCUAACUACGUGCCAGCAGCCGCGGUAAUACGUAGGGUGCAAGCGUUAAUCGGAAUUACUGGGCGUAAAGCGUGCGCAGGCGGUUAUAUAAGUCAGAUGUGAAAUCCCCGGGCUCAACCUGGGAACUGCAUUUGAGACUGUAUGGCUAGAGUGUGUCAGAGGGGGGUAGAAUUCCACGUGUAGCAGUGAAAUGCGUAGAUAUGUGGAGGAAUACCGAUGGCGAAGGCAGCCCCCUGGGAUAACACUGACGCUCAUGCACGAAAGCGUGGGGAGCAAACAGGAUUAGAUACCCUGGUAGUCCACGCCCUAAACGAUGUCUACUAGUUGUCGGGACUUAAUUGUCUUGGUAACGCAGCUAACGCGUGAAGUAGACCGCCUGGGGAAUCGGUCGCAAGNUUAAAACNCAAAGGAUUGACGGCNGAGAGAGCGACGACGACGACGAGGGAGGAGG
rnacentral:rRNA from 1 species